rnacentral:rRNA from 1 species
UACGUAGGGUGCGAGCGUUGUCCGGAAUUAUUGGGCGUAAAGAGCUCGUAGGCGGUCUGUCGCGUCGAUCGUGAAAACUUGGGGCUUAACCCUGAGCUUGCGGUCGAUACGGGCAUGACUGGAGUUCGGCAGGGGAGACUGGAAUUCCUGGUGUAGCGGUGAAAUGCGCAGAUAUCAGGAGGAACACCGGUGGCGAAGGCGGGUCUCUGGGCCGAUACUGACGCUGAGGAGCGAAGGCGUGGGGGAGCGAACAGG